rnacentral:rRNA from 1 species
UACGUAGGGCGCAAGCGUUGUCCGGAAUUAUUGGGCGUAAAGAGCUCGUAGGUGGCUUGUCACGUCGGGUGUGAAAGCUUGGGGCUUAACUCCAGGUCUGCAUUCGAUACGGGCUGGCUAGAGGUAGGUAGGGGAGAACGGAAUUCCUGGUGUAGCGGUGAAAUGCGCAGAUAUCAGGAGGAACACCGAUAGCGAAGGCAGCUCGCUGGGACGGUACUGACGCUGAGGCGCGAAAGCGUGGGGAGCAAACAGG